AUUUUAAUUCAAGUUAAUUUAAUUUUAAACAGUUUCUCUUCGCACAUUUGAUAAAAUUUAUUAAUAUUUUCUGAUUCCUGAUAAAAGUCAUUACCUACAUAAUUGUGCUUCGAAAAUUCAAUUCAAAAAGUUCGUCCAAAUUUUCUGCCACAAAAAUCUUAUGAAAAUGUUAUAAAUAAAGAAACUGCAACGUACAUAAAAGAACUGGGCGCAGCUACUUAGCAUUCCCGAAUCUGAGCUUUUGGAAAAUCGUUCAACAUACGUUCCGCGUGAAAAGAUCCACCAUGAGCUCCCACAUCUACCGAAGGAUAUUUUAUAAGAGGUACUUGUAGAAAAUUCAUCGUAAACUUAGGUAUAAUUAAUUAAAGUAGAAAAUUCUAAAGAAACAUUUGGAUUGGAACCUUUGGAAACUUAAAGCCGCAGGUGUCGCAUGAACUCACUAACGUUGGAACAUGUUAGUUGUAAGACAAAUGCAAAGUGGAAUAUUUAUAAGGUGUGUUUUUAUAUACAAAUUUUUGCCAUAUAGGUAUAGCUAGGCAGUGUUAUUAUCGCUUCGAUAUUCAGUCAAUUUUUUAUCAAUAUAUGCUUCAAAUUCUAUAGCCACGUGGCUAAUUUUGCAAACAAGCAAUGCAGAAAAUCACAAUUUGAAUUUUCAGAGAAAUAGAAGAAAUUUCCACUAAGUGGUGGCGUGUACCGAAUUGUUCUCGGAAAUUAUAGCGUCAUAGUUUUGAAUUGUCUUAAAUUUAGAAGGAUGUAUAAACAAAAGGUGGUUUUUUUUAAAUUUUUUUUUGUAUAUGGAACUGAGGUCAAGAUUCAAGAAAUUAAAACAAGAAAUGAUUCACAAGAAAAUCACAAUUGUCCAUUAACAAUAUACGGUCCCAAAAAAACCAAAAUAUUGUCGGAAGCUACGAAAUUCCCGAGCAUGUAUCUAUCUGAUCAACGUCCAUCGAGUGAGAGACUGCAAAACCGGAAUGCAUUUCAAUACUUCAUCACCGAUGAUUUUGGUACCGUUUGAAAAUAAUUGCUGAUAUUAAUUGUAGAGGUAUUGUUCAUGAGAGGUAAACUAUUAAAAGAAGUAUAACAUCACGAAGCUCUUGUGGAACUUGAAAUUUAGAGCUACAAAAAAGCCACGCAAAUGAAAGUUUCAAUACUAACUCAUAUCACAGAUAGUAUAAUAUAUCUGUGCCCAUAUCAAAAGCGUUGCGAAAGGGAAUAAUUAUCUUUGAUCAAAAUAAGUGUUCAGUGAAUGACGUGGAGUUAAUGUACCAAAAUCGUGAUUGGGACCCUUAGCGCAUAGUUUAAUAUUAACGAUGUGUUCCAUACACAUCAGGAUACCAUCGUUCACUCUGCAGGAGACAAGUGGUCUAAUAAGGAAUUAUAUAUUCGUUACCUUUUAAGAUCAGAUUGAAGCAAUUAUUUGAUAUGGGUAUCUCAAUUGUAUCUUGUUUUUAUUAAAUUAAUAAGUGGUAUAUUUUCAUCAUUGAGCUGUGAUUAGUGGAUGUUAUUUGAAACGUGUAAUGAAACUUCAAAUUGAUAAGCUCUGUAAUGUAGUAUAAAACGACGGGUUAGGUACCUAUUUACUAGUAACAACUAACAAGUACUAAGUAAAGCAAUACAUAAACAUGAAAUUUUUUCUUUAUAUUCUUGUUAUCGUCGCCCUUCAGGUAGCCUACUGUAAUGGUAAUUGCAGUUGCUAUAUUGACCAUACAACUUGCCCUGAAGGUACAGGUGGCGGCGAAUUCUGCCGCGAACGUGACGACUCGACAGGAGUAUGGUGCUGCAUAUAUUCCUCCCACAGUUAAGUAGGUAUAAUACACACCUGCCUCCCUUACUUUAAAAGAUAUUACAAUAUGAUGGGGUAAAUAUACUGUAACUCCAGACAAAUAAAGUGUAUUAAAUAAAAAA